GAAUUCGGAACGAUCCAUGGGUUUCUGUUGUCCUUCAUUCCACCGGAGUCUGUUUCGUACCUAAUCAGAUUUCAGUGGAGUGAAGCACAAGAGGCAUGGAGUUGAAUC
rnacentral:pre_miRNA from 1 species